rnacentral:rRNA from 1 species
CUCCUACGGGAGGCAGCAGUGGGGAAUAUUGCACAAUGGGCGCAAGCCUGAUGCAGCCAUGCCGCGUGUAUGAAGAAGGCCUUCGGGUUGUAAAGUACUUUCAGCGGGGAGGAAGGCGUUGAGGUUAAUAACCUCAGCUGUAUUGACGUUACCCGCAUAAGAAGCACUGGCUAACUCCGUGCCAGCAGCCGCGGUAAUACGGAGGGUGCAAGCGUUAAUCGGAAUUACUUGGGCGUAAAGCGCACGCAGGCGGUCUGUCAAGUCGGAUGUGAAAUCCCCGGGCUCAACCUGGGAACUGCAUUCGAAACUGGCAGGCUAGAGUCUUGUAGAGGGGGGUAGAAUUCCAGGUGUAGCGGUGAAAUGCGUAGAGAUUUGGAGGAAUACCGGUGGCGAAGGCGGCCCCCUGGACAAAGACUGACGCUCAGGUGCGAAAGCGUGGGGGAGCAAACAGGAUUAGAUACCCUGGUAGUCCACGCCGUAAACGAUGUCGACUUGGAAGGUUGUGCCCUUGAGGCGUGGCUUUCCGGACCUAACCCGUUUUAGUCGACCGCUGGGGAGUACGGCCGCAAGGUUAAAACUAAAAUGAAUUGACGGGGGCCCCGCCAAGCGGUGGAGCAUGUGGUUU